rnacentral:lncRNA from 1 species
ACUUGGUGUCCAGUUUGGCCAUCUCCUGCACGUAGAUGCCGAUGCUCUCGCUGUCGAAGAGCAGGAAGUACACAUUCUUCAGCGAGGACGAGCCCGAGUCGUCGUCGAAAUGAGAAGCAUUGACUUAAGAGAUGCCAAGUAACUCAGCAGAUGUCACACAGACGAUAAAUAGCAAAGAUGGAAGUCUUCAUGCCGGAGGUAAUCCUAUAAGACAGCUGAGUUCUGCAGAGCUGGUAGGAGACAGACUUGCUCAGGUGAUAGAUCCAGCCAUGAUACUGACCCUAAGAGAAUGAGACACUCUGCAGAAGACAGAAGAUUCCUGAAACUGGGAAAGGUGCCUAGAAAUCCUAAGAAGAGUGAAGAAGUGGCAGAGCAGCCUUCCUCCGCACUAUGAAAGACAUCCAACAGAGAGCAAGUUCCCACUUUACUUCCAGCUUGACUCCUCUUUAUCUCCUAACUGCGGUCUGUGAUGUCUUCAGCAAUGGUAUUAACUAGUUCUGGGUACCUGGAGGCACAACAGCCAUGUUGAACCUAUGAGGUGAUGAAAAACCAUGCAACUAGAAACCAGAAUGGAAGAAAAGAAGAGGCUGGAUCCUUGACUGAAUUGUCGAUGGGGGACAGUCCAUCAUCCCAGGGCUAAGACCACCUCCAGAUUUCUUGUUUGGUGAAACAAGUCCUGAUUGUUUACAUUCCCUCAUGUUGAGCUGUCUCUUGCUUGUAGCUGAAAGCAUUCCUAAUAGAUAUUCAGAUUAUCAGCCUUAGCUCCAAGCCAGAAUACUCUAUGGGACCUUAGCUUCUCCAUGAAUUCCUUUGCUCAUCUGUGUAAUGCUCAAUAAAUGUAAAUUGAACCCUGAAUGAGGGACAAUGAC